rnacentral:misc_RNA from 1 species
AGCAGCCGCGGUAAUUCCAGCUCCAAUAGCGUAUAUUAAAGUUGUUGCAGUUAAAAAGCUCGUAGUUGAAUUUCGGGGUUAGUAGGUUGGUCAUGCCUCUGGUAUGUACUGGUCUCACUGAUUCCCCCUUCCUGAUGAACCUUAAUGCCAUUAAUUUGGUGUUUUGGGGAAUUUGGACUGUUACUUUGAAAAAAUUAGAGUGUUUAAAGCAAGCUAACGCUUGAAUACAUUAGCAUGGAAUAAUGAAAUAGGACGUUCGAUCCUAUUUUGUUGGUUUCUAGGAUUGACGUAAUGAUUAAUAGGGAUAGUUGGGGGCAUUAGUAUUCAAUUGUCAGAGGUGAAAUUCUUGGAUUUAUUGAAGACUAACUACUGCGAAAGCAUUUGCCAAGGAUGUUUUCAUUAAUCAAGAACGAAAGUUAGGGGAUCGAAGACGAUCAGAUACCGUCGUAGUCUUAACCAUAAACUAUGCCGACUAGGGAUCGGGAUGAUGUUAAUUUUUUAAUGACUCAUUCGGCGCCUU